rnacentral:rRNA from 1 species
UUUUAAGCCCAUUCGAGUCGAAUGUAGCAAUACAUGGCGUACUGCUCAGUAACACGUGGACAACCUACCCUCCGGACGGGUAUAAACCCGGGAAACUGGGUAUAAUCCCCGACAGAUCUCGGUCGCUGGAAAGCCCCGAGAUCGAAAGCUCCGGCGCCAGAGGAUGGGUCUGCGGCCUAUCAGGUAGUAGUGGGUGUAGCGUACCUACUAGCCUACGACGGGUACGGGUUGUGAGAGCAAGAGCCCGGAGAUGGAUUCUGAGACACGAAUCCAGGCCCUACGGGGUGCAGCAGGCGCGAAAACUUUACAAUGCCGGCAACGGCGAUAAGGGGACCUCGAGUGCCAGGUUACAAAUCUGGCUGUCGUGAUGCCUAAAAAGCAUUGCAUAGCAAGGGCCGGGCAAGACCGGUGCCAGCCGCCGCGGUAACACCGGCGGCUCGAGUGGUGGCCAUUAUUAUUGGGUUUAAAGCGUCCGUAGCCGGCCAGAUAAGUCUCCUGGGAAAUCCAUCAGCUCAACCGAUGGGCGUUCAGGAGAUACUGGCAACCUAGGGGCCGGGAGAGGUGAGAGGUACUUCAGGGGUAGGGGUGAAAUCUUGUAAUCCUUGAAGGACCACCAGUGGCGAAGGCGUCUCACCAGAACGGACCUGACGGCAAGGGACGAAAGCUAGGGGCACGAACCGGAUUAGAUACCCGGGUAGUCCUAGCCGUAAACGAUACUCGCUAGGUGUCGGCCACGGUGCGACCGUUGUCGGUGCCGUAGGGAAGCCGUGAAGCGAGCCACCUGGGAAGUACGGCCGCAAGGCUGAAACUUAAAGGAAUUGGCGGGGGAGCACCACAACGGGUGGAGCUUGCGGUUUAAUUGGAUUCAACGCCGGAAAUCUUACCGGGACCGACAGCAAUAUGAAGGCCAGGCUGAAGACUUUGCCGGAUUAGCUGAGAGGUGGUGCAUGGCCGUCGUCAGUCGUACUGAAGUA